AAAGGAGAAAGCGGCGCGCGCCGCGGGUGCUUCCAAAUUGCCCUCGGCAUCGACACAUAAAGGGGUCCUCAAAGCGUUCAAGGCAUUCGACCAAGAUGGCUCGGGCACAAUUGAACGUGCUGAGUUCAUCCUCAUCAUGACGCGUGCUCCGUCCAUGCUCACAACAGAGCAGGCCGAGAUGCUCUUUGACGAGAUG
rnacentral:snRNA from 15 species